rnacentral:lncRNA from 1 species
GAACUAAACAGGUAGCUGUGAGAAGAGAAAAUGAGAACCAUGAAACUCACUGUGAUACCAUCAGUCUCGCCAACCAACUGUCCGUCCAUUCACAUUUCUGGCUGGAGUUACAUGGCAGGGGAUUAUAUAUGCUAUGACUUGUUCGUAAAAAUAAAGCAAGAAGAGUGAGGACCCCACCAAGCCCAUGCCUAAGCCUACACUCUACAGAGACCCUGACCUGACAGAAAACUGUUCUGAGUGCCAGCAAAACCUUGCAGGAAGUGCUGGAAGUCUGUACGCUUCAGAAUUAAAAAGAUUUUACCUUGGAAUUUCACAAAUUGGACUUCUUUGUUACUUCUCUCCUUUCAACAGGAAAUCAUCUUUGUGUUCUUAAACAAAUUGACAAAUACAAAAGUCCAAUGAAACUCAAAAGGACCAGUUGAAAAUAACAGAUUGUAUCCAAAUAAACCAUAAAUACUAAACAGAAAUUUUGCUUUUCCAUUUGUUUUAGAUUAUGCCAGUCAACACAUACUAUAUAAAGACUAGAAACUUGGUAAACGUGAUUUUAUUAAAAAAAAAAAAAAAGAUCCAUUUAAGUAGUUGAAAAACUGAUUCCCAAGUAUGUCCUAAAGGAAUUGGUUUUAUCAUAGAAUCUCUAGAGACUGUGAAUCUAGUUGCUCAAGAAAAUCGAUACUCUCUCAUAAGUCAGAAAUUAUGGGUGUGGCAAUGGAGCAUUACAAACAUUGGAAAGAAAGCAAAAUUAUUUUAGAAGACAUAAUUAUAUGACUGGGAAUUCAAGCAAAUCAACUGAAAAACUUUUGUGGAUGGAAAAAAGAAAGGGAGUUAGGUCCUCUAUGCCUCCAUAAUGACUGAGAAGUUCAAGAAUUACCAAGUGAGCCUUAUCACUUUAAGUAGGUGUCCAAUACCAUGUCCAUGGGUCUUCCAAUAGUCAGUUCAUCACUCCUUUUUCAUGGUAGGUUGACCAUUUUACACUUUUAAAGUUAUAGUUAUUCUCAACUACACAACUGACCUGGGGGUUAGGGACACUUAACCCCCAUACAUUUGAAAAUCGUUCUACAAUUUUUGAUUCCCCAAAAUCUUAACUAUUAAUAGCCUACUGCUGACCAGGAGCAAUAACACAGUUGCUUAACAUAUAUUUUUUAUGUCAUAUAUAUAUAUAUAUAUAUAUAUAUAUAUGACAUAAAAAUACAAUAAAGUAAACCAGAGCAAAGAAAAUAUCAUUAAGUGUAUCAUGAAGAAGAGAAAAUGCAUUUACAGUACAUGUAAAAAAAUCCACAUGUAAAUUGACGUGCACAUUUCAAACUCAUGUUG